GGCCCGGUGGUGGAUGGCCACACCUGUGUUUAUUAAUUGUUGUCCAAAAGGUACAGCAGGGGAACCCCGUUCGAUUCGGGGCCGGGCCA